rnacentral:rRNA from 1 species
AUGUACACGUAUGUACAGCAGCCACGUAUGUACAUACGGGCGGGGUCUCGAACGCCUACUCGCGCAUACAUACGGCCAAGGCUCGUGUACAUGGCUGGGUCGGAACGGAGAAACUGCGUCGUCAUCGUGUUUAUGGGGAGCCAACCGGCUGGGUCGGAACGGAAUGUGCCGUCGUGUUCAUCGGGAGGGCUCGGAUGGAACAACCGAUGGAAACGAGGCCUGGCGUACCGCAGAACGGAGGAAACGGCCUUGUGUUCGACCGGCCACAUUCGAAACGGGAUCUUGUUCAUCGGGAGGGGUCUGGCGUACCGCAAAACGGAGGAAACGGACUUCUGUUGGACCUCCUACGGUCAAACGUGGUCCUGUUGA